GAUGAACGCUAGCGGCAGGCUUAAUACAUGCAAGUCGUGGGGCAGCAGGGGUAGCAAUACCCGCUGGCGACCGGCAAACGGGUGCGGAACACGUACGCAACCUUCCUUUAACUGGAGAAUAGCCCCUCGAAAGAGGGAUUAAUACUCCGUAACAUGUACAUGUGGCAUCACAAGUACAUUAUAGCUUCGGCGGUUAAAGAUGGGCGUGCGCCUGAUUAGAUAGUUGGCGGGGAACGGCCACCAAGUCUGCGAUCAGUAACUGGUGUGAGAGCACGACCAGUCACAC
rnacentral:rRNA from 1 species